CUGAUUCCUGAAGCCAAUGUGAGCAUAAAGGCAUGUGUCGUUUUCUGUGUCCAAGUCAUAUUUAAAGUGUCACACUUCAUGCAGAGUUCCUGAAGUCCUUUAAAGGGAAGAGUAAGAAAACGUUUAUGAGAAACACAGGAAAACAACUCGGAAUUACUCAGCCUAAGGAAGGUGGCCAGCAGCGAAAGUCUUUGUCUGUGCUCACAAAGGCCCCCUGAAGACUACAAGGAGAGGUCCUGAGAUCAACAGCACAGCCAACCGCUCAGGCAGGACAGGCGGAGCCGGGGCAAGUCUCUGCUCAAGUACAGAGUGGGAGGAGUCUGCACUCCAGCCUGGGCCAUUUCAGACUUACAGAGAAGCUAAGCUUGAUGCAAAAUGCCACAGCUCCCUCACCCACUGCUACUGUGCUUUGGAGAGAACAAAGCAUU